UACGAAGGGGGCUAGCGUUGCUCGGAAUCACUGGGCGUAAAGGGCGCGUAGGCGGAUCUUUAAGUCGGGGGUGAAAGCCUGAGGCUCAACCUCAGAAUUGCCUUCGAUACUGGAGAUCUUGAGACCGGAAGAGGUAAGUGGAACUGCGAGUGUAGAGGUGAAAUUCGUAGAUAUUCGCAAGAACACCAGUGGCGAAGGCGGCUUACUGGUCCGGUUCUGACGCUGAGGUGCGAAAGCGUGGGGAGCAAACAGG
rnacentral:rRNA from 1 species